rnacentral:lncRNA from 1 species
UCUGAAUGUCUUCUGGGAAAACAGUUCUUGAUCUUACUGCUGAUGAAAGUGGAUAAUGUGUGAAAAAUUGACCUUUCAGAUGACUGGCUAACUGCUUUCAGUGUUAAAGAGAUUUUCCAGAUGGGAAAGAAAGGGAGAUGAACAGCUAAGAGGUUGUUUCCUGGAAGUGGCCUUGACAGCAUUUGGAGGCCACUGGGACUUUCAUUCCUUCUUUGCCCUUUAUCUCCGCAAACCACUGGGUCCCGAGCAGAGCUCUCUAGGAACUGCCACCUAAGAUGUGCUCCUUCUCAAAAAAAAAAAAAAGAUGAGUUCCUUGCUCUCAAAGUUAGGUCUCUCUGUGGGGAGAAGGUUACCAGAGGAAAUAAUGGUAGAGACAGUUUGUGCCUGUGUCCCCAUGUGAGCGGUGCAGGAUUUUCCAUCUGAAUAGAGGGGCCCAGAACUGAACAGAGCUGUCACAAGAGAAAAAGUUGAUGUUUGCUGCAGAAGAUCAACAAAUCAUUUACAUUCUACAAAGUCAGAAAAAUCAGUAGUCUGGUAUUUCUUAGGGUAGUUCUGGGGUCUCCGCUCAAAAACUUGCUGGUCCUUCUGCCUGAGGACCUCUGGGCCAUCAAGUGGCUGCAGAAGGCAGUGGGGGGCUCUCCCCCCAGGAGGGAAUGAGUAAUAAAAA